rnacentral:rRNA from 1 species
UACGUAGGGCGCAAGCGUUGUCCGGAAUUAUUGGGCGUAAAGAGCUCGUAGGCGGUUCGUCGCGUCGGCUGUGAAAUCCCGAGGCUCAACCUCGGGUCUGCAGUCGAUACGGGCGGACUGGAGUACUGCAGGGGAGACUGGAAUUCCCGGUGUAGCGGUGAAAUGCGCAGAUAUCGGGAGGAACACCAAUGGCGAAGGCAGCUCGCUGGGACGGUACUGACGCUGAGGCACGAAAGCGUGGGGAGCAAACAGG